rnacentral:rRNA from 1 species
UCCUACGGGUGGCUGCAGUGGGGAAUCUUGCACAAUGGGCGAAAGCCUGAUGCAGCAACGCCGCGUGGGGGAUGAAGCUUCUCGGAGUGUAAACCCCUUUCGACCCGGACGAAAGCCCGCAAGGGUUUGACGGUACGGGUAUAAGAAGCCCCGGCUAACUACGUGCCAGCAGCCGCGGUAAAACGUAGGGGGCCAGCGUUGCUCGGAAUUACUGGGCGUAAAGGGUCCGUAGGCGGUGUGGCAAGUCGGAAGUGAAAUCUCUGGGCUUAACUCAGAGGCUGCUUCCGAAACUGCUGUGCUAGAGUGUGAGAGAGGCGAGUGGAAUUGCGGGUGUAGCGGUGAAAUGCGUAGAUAUCCGCAGGAACAUCCGAGGCGAAAGCGGCUCGCUGGAUCACAACUGACGCUGAGGGACGAAAGCUAGGGGAGCAAACAGGAUUAGAUACCCUUGUAGUC